UACGAGAGGCGCAAACGUUAUUCGGAAUUACUGGGCUUAAAGAGUUCGUAGGCGGCGCAGCAAGUAGGGUGUGAAAGCCCUCGGCUUAACCGAGGAAUUGCGCUCUAAACUACUGUGCUUGAGGAACCUAGAGGUGAGCAGAACUGAUGGUGGAGCGGUGAAAUGCGUUGAUAUCAUCAGGAAUACCGGAGGCGAAGGCGGCUCACUGGGGGUUUUCUGACGCUGAGGAACGAAAGCCAGGGGAGCGAACGGG
rnacentral:rRNA from 1 species